AAUCUAUCAAUCAUGUAUAUAUGAUACGAGUUGAAGCUUGUGAUUAUAACAAAAAUAAAGCAAUCUGGAGAUCAUACAGCUUUCUAGUCAUUUUGCUCCGUAAAUCAUUGGUCAACAAUAUUUUCACCAGACUACCAACAGCAUAUAUCAGAAAGGAGCACCUAAGAAAACACAUAAUCGGGGAUACAUUCAAAUCGUUGAUCAAUUUGUCACUAUUAAUACACUUCCUAGUCGCGGUCAGCAUCUUCCAGUUCUUCAUCCUCGGGUACACCACGAAGAUAGAGGACAUUGUUACAUCUAAUCAGGAUCUCUCCGAGAGAGCCAGAGCUUACUCCAUCAGUGAAUUCUUCUGCAUUUGCAAGCUGCAAGUUCAUAUAUGAAUCCACAGAGACCAGAUACCCUUUGUACUCUAAUCCCCACUUCAGCUUUACCAUCACAGGCUUUCCAGUCAAAUUGUUCAAAAAAGGCUUCGGAUUAACUGGUACUGUCGCCAUUGAAGCUUUUCGAGGUUUAGGGUUUCUCAAA
rnacentral:misc_RNA from 1 species